AUUGAUCUAUAAUAUUGAAUAAGAUGUAUAGCUUAUAAUCAAUUUUAUAUUUUUUUUUAAUAGAUAGUUACAUAGGUUGGUAACAUGAGGGUGAAUGCUACAAAUUUGAUUAAAGAAAGUAUCCCGAGCUACCCUCAAAAGAGUACUAAGAUCCGGGAGCACAAAGCAGGCGAUCGUAAGAGCAAUUGCUCAGGAGCUAUGUUCCACAAAAUACCGAAUCCAAACAUAGCACAUAGGCAUAUUAUAAAACGUGAGCCCUUCAGGCUUUUUAAUUAGGAAUCGUAUGAUUGGAGUGCAGUAACGGGUCACUUGAAGAGUGCCUCCCGCGCAAUAAUUGGAACCCAUACUCUUAAUUAUUUAUUUAAACUGGAUAAUUUUAUUAUCCAUUUGUGUAGAUUAUUGAUGAAGCUGAGUUCUUUUUAUUUGGAACUGAUGACCUUACCCAAAUGACAUUUGGGUAUAGUGGAGAUGAUGUUGGAAAAUUUCUUUCCAUUUACCUAUCAAGCGGCAUUCUGCAGAGUGAUCCGUUCGAGGUUAGUUGUGUAACGUUUAUUUUCUCAUUGAGGACAUGUGAAAGAUGGUUCUUGAAAUUUUUUAACUAUUUCACAAUAAUAUUAAAUGUUCAACUAUUAAACUAAAUUUUGAAGACUCUUGCAGAGUUCUAA